UGGCGGCAAUAGCGCGGUGGUCCCACCUGACCCCAUGCCGAACUCAGAAGUGAAACGCCGUAGCGCCGAUGGUAGUGUGGGGUCUCCCCAUGUGAGAGUAGGGAACUGCCAGGCA
rnacentral:rRNA from 5 species